rnacentral:rRNA from 1 species
UACAGAGGUCCCAAGCGUUGUUCGGAUUCACUGGGCGUAAAGGGUGCGUAGGCGGUUGGGUAAGUCUGUCGUGAAAUCUCCGAGCCUAACUCGGAAACUGCGUCGGAUACUAUUCAACUCGAGGAAUGGAGGGGAGACUGGAAUUCUCGGUGUAGCAGUGAAAUGCGUAGAUAUCGAGAGGAACACCAGUGGCGAAGGCGAGUCUCUGGACAUUUCCUGACGCUGAGGCACGAAAGCCAGGGGAGCAAAACGGG